rnacentral:lncRNA from 1 species
CGCAAAGAUUCGGUCUUCUUACUUCUGUGUUUGGUUUGUCAGGGUUUAGCUCGGUUUGCUCAAAGUUCUAGGGAUAAAACUUUGAGCACCCAUUUGAUAUCUUUGAGCUUUGGUGUGCAGGUUAGGAUGCGAUUUCGGCAGAGUGACGGUGCCAAAAAUUAGGUUUUCUUCGUGGAAAUGGAUAGUCCUUAUAUAGAGCUCUGGGUUACCAAGUCUCUCACCUGUGAGCUGGCCAAAAAUCCAAGAUUUUCUGUUGGAAUAAAAUCUCCUCUAAUUUUGGUGUGGUCCCUAAUUUGAUGCAGGUGGCAAGGCGAGUUGGUUGGGAGUGGAAAUCUUUCCAUGAUGCGUG